rnacentral:tRNA from 1 species
GGUUGUGGCUCAGUGGUAGUGCAUUCCCCUAGCACGAGUGGGGCCCUGGGUUCGAUCCUCAGCACCA